CAGAGUUCCAAUGCCUCGUGGCGGCUAUUUAAGUGGCGGCGAUACAACGCUAACCGCGUACGAAGUCCUCUAGCAGUACGAUUUCCCAGUAGGGAUAUUCCCGGAGGGGAUCACCGGCUACGAGAUCGACACGGAGACGGGGAAAUUCAAGGCCUACCUACAGCAGACCUGCAAAUUCAAGGCUUCGACGAGAGCCCCCAGUGCGGCUGCGGGUUCGAUUGCGACAGAUUGGUUUCAUCGAUAUGAGACCUAGAAUCUUUCAAUCAGGUAGCUGCUGUAGAAGAUCAAAUGGCGGAAGCCCUAAAAGAUUAGUCAGAUCUAACUAGAAACUAUCAAGUCCAUACUAUUUCAGAACCCCGGCAACAACGAAAUAGCAUCGAACUCCGGCUCAAGCUUUCCCUUCUAUAGAUCGAGUCUCCGAAUCGCCGCCGUCAAAGUUCGAAAUGUCUCCAUCGGCGUCGCUUGUUCUCUUCUUCUCCCUCCUCAUCGUAAAACCUUACCCUCCGGCCGCCGCGGAAGCACUAUCGGCGUACGAAGUCCUCGAAGGAUACAACUUCCCGAUCGGCUCCUUCCACCGGGAGCAACCGGAUAUGAACUCGACCCGUCCACGGGCAGAUUCCGCACUUAUCUCAACGGAAGCUGCAGCUUCUCCAGCUAUUGUACCAGCUGAAAUACAGCUCCGUAAUCGGCGGAUAACUCAGCGAGAAUCGGCUCACUAAGCUGACAGGAGUCAGCGUGAAGAUACUCUUCUUGCGAGAAUUGGUCUCUUCCAAUUAAAAUGU
rnacentral:lncRNA from 1 species